GGGGCCAUAGCUCAGCUGGGAGAGCGCAACACUGGCAGUGUUGAGGUCGACGGUUCGAUCCCGUCUGGCUCCA
rfam:Marinobacter sp. BSs20148, complete genome.